UGGGGAAUAUUGGACAAUGGGGGCAACCCUGAUCCAGCAAUGCCGCGUGUGUGAAGAAGGCCUUAGGGUUGUAAAGCACUUUAGUUGGGGAAGAAGGAAAGUGGUUUAAGAGAUGACUAGUUUGACGGUACCCAAAGAAUAAGCACCGGCUAACUCUGUGCCAGCAGCCGCGGUAAUACAGAGGGUGCAAGCGUUAAUCGGAGUUACUGGGCGUAAAGGGCGCGUAGGCGGUUAUUUAAGUUUGAUGUGAAAUCCCUGGGCUUAACCUAGGAACUGCAUUGAAAACUGGGUAACUGGAGUACUGUAGAGGGUAGUGGAAUUUCCGGUGUAGCGGUGAAAUGCGUAGAGAUCGGAAGGAACACCAGUGGCGAAGGCGGCUACCUGGACAGAUACUGACGCUGAGGCGCGAGAGCGUGGGGAGCAAACAGGAUUAGAUACCCCCGUAGUCC
rnacentral:rRNA from 1 species